rnacentral:rRNA from 1 species
GUAGUCUCGCACAGAUGCAUAUCAAUAAGCGGAGGAAAAGAAACUAACAAGGAUUCCCCUAGUAACGGCGAGUGAAGCGGGAAGGGCUCAAAUUUGAAAUCUUAAAGGGUUUCCCUUUACGAAUUGUAGUUUAAAGAAGUGUUUUCUGUUGAGGUUUUGGUAAAAGUUCUUUGGAAUAGGACAUCAUAGAGGGUGAGAAUCCCGUAUUUGACCUUUACUUUCAACUUUGUGAUACACUUUCAAAGAGUCGGAUUGUUUGGGAAUGCAGUCCAAAAUGGGUGGUAAAUUUCAUCUAAAGCUAAAUAUUGGCGAGAGACCGAUAGCGAACAAGUACCGUGAGGGAAAGAUGAAAAGAACUUUGAAAAGAGAGUUAAACAGUACGUGAAAUUGUCAAAAGGGAAGCGUUUGACACCAGUGUUGUUUUUCUGAAAAUCAAUUAAAGAACUGUUUAUGCUAAGUUGUUUAGACUUUAUCAGCUAACUGUUUAGUUUUGAGCUUUUCUUUAAUGCACUUUUCAGUUAACAAGUCAACAUCAAUUUCUUUUGCUGUAAAAAAGCUUGAGGAAGGUGGCUUGAGAUUCGUCUUAAGUGUUUAUAGCCUCUUGCCUAUGCAGUCGGAGAGAUUGAGGUCUGCAGCGUAGAUCCUUCGGGGCUAAAUGCAUUUGUGCUAAGUUAUAGCAUUUUAUAGACAACUUGUUGACUAUGAUUUGUCUUGUAGCUUACUCGCUUAUGUUAUUUUACCUACGCUUAGGAUGUUGAUCUGUAGUGCGUGCGC